rnacentral:rRNA from 1 species
UUAAGCUAAGAAGAGCGUAGGGAGAAUGCCUUGGCAUUAGGAGCCGAUGAAGGACGUGAUAAGCUGCGAUAAGCUGCGGGGAUCAGCAAGUAUGAAUUGAUCCGCAGAUUUCCGAAUGGAGCAAUCCGUAUGUGUAUGCACAUACAUCAUAUACUGAAUCAAAUAGGUAUAUGAGGGGAACCGCCUGAACUGAAACAUCUAAGUAGGGCGAGGAAGAGAAAUCAACCGAGAUUCUGUGAGUAGUGGCGAGCGAAAGCGGAAGAGGCUAAACCAUAGGUAGCAAUACUUAUGGGGUUUCGGACAGCAUUUAGUAUUGAUAAUUUCUAGUUGAAACGUGUGGGAAAACGUACCGAAGAGUGUGAGAGUCACGUAAGCGAAAGAGAAAGUCAGCGAGCUGUAUCCAAAGUACCGCGGGACACGUGAAACCCCGUGGGAAGAUGGGGGGACCAUCCUCCAAGCCUAAAUACUACCUAAUGACCGAUAGCGAAUAGUACUGUGAAGGAACGGUGAAAAGAACCCCGGGAGGGGAGUGAAAAAGAACCUGAAACCCUAUGCUUACAAGCACCGAGAGCACGUCAAAGUGUGAUCGGGUACCUUUUGUAGAAUGGUCCGGCGAGUUAUUGUAUGCGGCAAGGUUAAGUGCUUAAGGCACGGAGCCGAAGCGAGAGCAAGUCUGAAUAGGGCGAAAAAGUCGUAUGCAAUAGACCCGAAACCGAGUGAUCUAUCCAUGUCCAGGCUGAAGUGGAGGUAAAACUCCAUGGAGGGCCGAACACACGUCCGUUGAAAAGGCCGGUGAUGAGGUGUGGAUAGCGGAGAAAUUCCAAUCGAACUCGGAUAUAGCUGGUUCUCUCCGAAAUAGCUUUAGGGCUAGCCUCGUGAAAGAUUACUGGAGGUAAAGCACUGAAUGGGCUAGGGGUCGAAAGAUUACUGAACCCUAUCAAACUAAGAAUGCCAGAUAAUUGAUUCACGGGAGUCAGACAAUGUGAGAUAAGUCUCAUUGUCAAAAGGGAAACAGCCCAGACCCACAGCUAAGGUCCCUAAACAUUGUUAAGUGGAAAAGGAUGUGGGGUUGCAUAAACAACCAGGAUGUUGGCUUAGAAGCAGCCACUCAUUAAAAGAGUGCGUAAUAGCUCACUGGUCGAGUGACUCUGCGCCGAAAAUUUAACGGGGCUAAACCAUACACCGAAGCUUGGGAAUAUAUGGUCGCAAGAUUGUAUGUUGGUAGGAGAGCGUCGUAUACGGGGUGAAGUUACAGCGGAAGCGGUAGUGGACUGUAUACGAGUGAGAAUGCCGGAAUGAGUAGCGAGAAUUAUGUGAGAAUCAUAAUGGCCGAAAAUCUAAGGUUUCCUGAGGAAGGUUCGUCCGCUCAGGGUAAGCCGGGGGCUAAGGCGAGGCGGAGACGCGUAGCCGAUGCACAUACGGUUGAAAUUCCGUAGCCACCGAAAGAUUUAAGUACAGGGACGCUUUAGAAGUGAUGUAGCCGGGCGAUGGUUGACCCGGUCGUAAGGGAUCGAAAAUGAGUAGAGAAGUCAUCAUGGAAAGAGACAAGAAAAGCUGUAUGAAUAUCUUAGGUGCCCGUACCGCAAACCGACACAGGUAGAUAGGAAGAAGAUUCUAAGGCCAACGGGAGAAGGGUUGUUAAGGAACUCGGCAAGUUGACCCCGUAACUUAGGGAUAAGGGGUGCUCAAGUGAUUGAGCCGCAGAGAAUAGGCCCAGGCGACUGUUUAGCAAAAACACAGGUCUCUGCUAAAUCGAAAGAUGACGUAUAGGGGCUGACACCUGCCCGGUGCCGGAAGGUUAAGAGGAGAUGUGAGAGCAUUGAAUUGAAGCCCCGGUAAACGGCGGCCGUAACUAUAACGGUCCUAAGGUAGCGAAAUUCCUUGUCAGGUAAGUUCUGACCCGCACGAAAGGCGUAAUGAUUUG